rnacentral:piRNA from 1 species
UGUAUAGUCUUUGGGUAGUGGCUUAGUCCC